ACACGUAAGUUGCGAGCGUUGUUCGGAAUUAUUGGGCGUAAAGGGCAUGUAGGCGGUAAUGCAAGUCUGGUGUGAAAUGCCGGGGCUCAACCCCGGAACUGCGUUGGAAACUGCAUUACUUGAGUGACUGAGGGGCAGGCAGAAUUCCUGGUGUAGGGGUGAAAUCUGUAGAUAUCAGGAAGAAUACCGAUGGCGAAGGCAGCCUGCCAGCAGAUGACUGACGCUGAGGUGCGAAGGUGCGGGGAGCAAACAGGAUUAGAUACCCUGGUAGUCCGCACAGUCAACUAUGUACACUGGAUGUCUGGACAGAAGUCUGGGUGUCGAAGCAAACGCGAUAAGUGUACCGCCUGGGGAGUAUGCCCGCAAGGGUGAAACUCAAAGGAAUUGACGGGG
rnacentral:rRNA from 1 species